AGCGAACGCUGGCGGCAGGCCUAACACAUGCAAGUCGAACGAAGUCUUCGGACUUAGUGGCGGACGGGUGAGUAACACGUGGGAACGUGCCUUUAGGUUCGGAAUAACUCAGGGAAGCUUGUGCUAAUACCGAAUGUGCCCUUCGGGGGAAAGAUUUAUCGCCUUUAGAGCGGCCCGCGUCUGAUUAGCUAGUUGGUGAGGUAAAGGCUCACCAAGGCGACGAUCAGUAGCUGGUCUGAGAGGAUGAUCAGCCACAUUGGGACUGAGACGCGGCCCAAACUCCUACGGGAGGCAGCAGUGGGGAAUCUUGCGCAAUGGGCGAAAGCCUGACGCAGCCAUGCCGCGUGAAUGAUGAAGGUCUUAGGAUUGUAAAAUUCUUCCACCGGGGACGAUAAUGACGGUACCCGGAGAAGAAGCCCCGGCUAACUUCGUGCCAGCCGCCGCAGUAAGAC
rnacentral:rRNA from 1 species